rnacentral:rRNA from 1 species
UACGAAGGGGGCUAGCGUUGUUCGGAUUUACUGGGCGUAAAGCGCACGUAGGCGGCUUCUAAGUCAGGGGUGAAAUCCUGGAGCUCAACUCCAGAACUGCCUUUGAUACUGGAAAGCUUGAGUCCGGGAGAGGUGAGUGGAACUCCGAGUGUAGAGGUGAAAUUCGUAGAUAUUCGCAAGAACACCAGUGGCGAAGGCGGCUUCCUGGCCUGUAACGUGACGCUG